GAAAACGGGGUUGGGACCUCACCUCGGUGAGGGCUCCAGCUUGUCUGAAUUAUUCACCCAUGUGUUUUGCGCACUUCUUGUUUCCUGGGCGGGUUCGCCCGCCACCAGGACCAAACCAUAAACCUUUUUGUAAUUGCAAUCAGCGUCAGUAAACAAUGUAAUUAUUACAACUUUCAACAACGGAUCUCUUGGUUCUGGCAUCGAUGAAGAACGCAGCGAAAUGCGAUACGUAGUGUGAAUUGCAGAAUUCAGUGAAUCAUCGAAUCUUAGAACGCACAUUGCGCCCUUUGGUAUUCGAAAGGGCAUGCCUGUUCGAGCGUCAUUUGUACCCUCAAGCUUUGCUUGGUGUUGGGCGUCUUUGUCUCUCACGAGACUCGCCUUAAAAUGAUUGGCAGCCGACCUACUGGUUUCGGAGCGCAGCACAAUUCUUGCACUUUGAAUCAGCCUUGGUUGAGCAUCCAUCAAGACCACAUUUUCUUAACUUUUGACCUCGGAUCAGGUAGGCUUACCCGCUGAACUUAAGCAUAUCAAUAAGCGGGAGGAACCUA
rnacentral:rRNA from 1 species